UUUUUUUUUUUUUUGUUUUUGUUUUUUAACAGACAAAAGCCAGGUGGAGGACAUGGGAGUUGGGGGCACCAGGGGGUCCUGCUUUGUUUCAAGAGGUUGCGUCUUCAAUCCUGCUCGGUCUCCUGUAGCCUCUCACCCGACUCGCCAGUCACCUGCUCACAUCUCCCUGCUUUAUUUCCUUCUCACAGUUUAAGAUUAUAAUUACUACUCACUAAAUUAGAUGUAAGUUCUUUAAAAUGAGGGGUCUUGCCUAGCGCUUGGCAGGGUUUACCAUAUGACAGGCAUAGGGCAAAUAUUUGUUGAAUUAAUAAACUAGUUCCUUAAUAAACCUCCGUGUUGAUAGUCCAUACUUGUUUCUUUGGCGAAAGAGGGUUUAUUGUCUUUACAUGAAUGUGUCCAAGUUUCAGUGGCUUCCCUUUGAGUGUAGACCAAGAGGAAGGGACCCAUGCGCCCCAAAGCACCACCUCCUUUCGGCCAGUACAUGGGGGGACAUCCAGCUUUACUUUAGGAGGUAAAUGCCACACUGCAAUUAUCUAGAGACAGUGGCCGAAUCUUGCUACUGAGUAACAGUCCUUUUGAGGAAAGUUUUAGACACGUAUCUUAUUUCUAUAGGUGCUGACAAGCGUUUUCUUUCACAGAAUAAAACCCAUCUUGCUGGGAGUAAAAGCAAAAGACCCCCCCUCUGUGUAGCGCUUUUUUUUUCUGUUGUGGAGAAAGGGGCUUUUUAGCUGUUCUAUGUCAUGUAAAUUUGAAUUCUCCAUCGGAAGUCUAGGGCUUUGGUUUCCUUGAUGUUUCUAGGCUGUGGGGUUUUGUCUGAGACUCGUGUUUUAGGAUGGAACAUUUCCAUGGUUACACCCAGUCUUUCUACCAUCCUUAAAAAAAAAAAACCCAUGACAAGUAAUCUGAUUCCUGGAUCACUACACAGAUGUCUUUUAAAUCUGUACAUAUGAAACUCUUGGGCAAGUUCCAUUUCCGUGCAUUUAGUCCCUUGAAUGCUUUUUUGUUUUGUUUUGUUUAAGAAAGCAUGUUUAAAAUUAGGAAUAAAUGACUUGGAUUGGCAGAUGAAACAGGGAAUGAAUGGCCUGUGUUGUGUUCAUGGUCUCAGCUCCGUGUAAGAUGAAUUUAGAGGUAGGGAUAUAAAAGGAGAGAUUGUUUCAGAGGCAAAACCAAAUAGCGGUUUCGGGCAGAAAUCAUACAUGUGUGAACAGUCAAUACUGCAUUCAGAAGGACUGUGUUCAAAAAGAGUGUUCCGGGAACACUACUCAGUGGUGUGUAAUAUGUGAAACAAGAAUGGGUGUGUGUAUAUUAUAUCUGAUUCACUUUGCUGUACACCUGAAACUAAUCCAACCUUGGAAGUCAACUAGAAAAUUAAAAACAAAAACCAAAAAAUACUGUUCAGUUUUUAAAGUAUAAAGUUUCAUGUCAACACGUUGUAAUAAACACAUGCACUUUCACUGACAGGGAGCAGAAGUAAAACUCACUUUUCCUCGGAACAGUCGGUGUGCUUAUCACGCUUCCUCUCAAGCCUGGUCCAGCUGUGCACACUCCGGCGCUUUUCGGGGUGUUGCAAAGCCUUUGCACAGAUGCCUUUGAAUUUAGCCUCGUGAGAUAAUUUCAAGUGGGAUGCGGUGGGGGGGGGGUGAGCUAGAGAAAGACCAUCUCAGAAUUAAUGCUAAGGCCAAAUUAUGGAAAAGUAGUGCAGCUUUUUAGAAAGUCAGAGUCGUGGUUAACUUAUACUGUAUUUCUCAAUGAGAAUACAAAAAGCUUAAUUUGAAUAUUAACUGCUGGUCUGAGUGCAGAAAGCUUGGCUGGUGGCUGAUCAUCAAGCAUUUAGUGACUUUCCCACCUGGUGUCACCCCUGUUUUGCUUGAGGCUCAAAUUCUCUCUCUUUUCCUCUUUUUCUUUGGUAUCUCCUCCCCUCCCCUGACCAAUUUCAGAGGUAAAUUAUCACUAAUAUGUAAUUAUUAUUAAUUUAUAAAUGCUUGUGGCUGAAACAUAAAAUAACACUAAAAAGGAAAACUCUGUAAUCUUAACUUCUAGAUACUUUUACGAGUAUUUUACCAUCCAUAAUUCCUUUUUUCUUACCAAUUGGGGUUCAUACUAUGUAAAUUAGUGUACAGGUUUUUGUAUGUAUCUUGAAUUUACAUGCUAGUAUUUAUAAAUGUUCUUCCUUAUUUGUCAUUUUGUAGCUGUCCUUGUAGAUAACAUACAUUUUGCUUCCUUGUCUUUUUAUAAAAACACCAGUGAUACAUUUGUUGGCUAAAGGAAUGCAUCAUUCAACUUCUUACGUGCAGACUGUCUCAAGUUUCGAUUACAGAUACAUUAGGAAAGAUUACUGUGUAUAAUGUGUUUUCAUUUUAAUGGGUUCAUGUGCAAGCUACUAUUUAAUCCCUUGAUGCAGUUACUAAGUAGCGUAGAUUUCCAAACUGUGCGCCCAAAGCGUGUCUGCUUCAUGAAUCACCUCUCCAUCCGUUGAUGUUCUCCAGGGAUGAAGGACAAAGCCCUGCUUUUGUGUUCCCGCUUCCUCUUCUCCAGCCCUCCUGUCCUGCUAUUUUGUUCUCGCAUAGCCUGCUUCUUUUACGCUCAGGAAAGAA
rnacentral:lncRNA from 1 species